rnacentral:misc_RNA from 1 species
CUGCAGCCCGACUUGAACGGAGCUCAUUUUUUGGUGCUGGUAAAGCUUUGGCAAAAAAUAGCGGGAGUGGAAGGCGGAUAAAGC